AUGAAUAAAUGAAUAGAUGACCUUACCUUAGCUUAGCUGUCCUCCUCAUUGUCUUCCAGCUGUCCCACAAAGUGCAAACAAGUGUUGAGUAUUAUGAAAGGUACUUCCUCUCUUUAUUC